rnacentral:rRNA from 1 species
AUUGAACGCUGGCGGCAGGCUUAACACAUGCAAGUCGAGCGGGGUGAUGGUGCUUGCACUAUCACUUAGCGGCGGACGGGUGAGUAAUGCUUAGGAAUCUGCCUAUUAGUGGGGGACAACAUCUCGAAAGGGAUGCUAAUACCGCAUGCGUCCUACGGGAGAAAGCAGGGGAUCACUUGUGACCUUGCGCUAAUAGAUGAGCCUAAGUCGGAUUAGCUAGUUGGUGGGGUAAAGGCCUACCAAGGCGACGAUCUGUAGCGGGUCUGAGAGGAUGAUCCGCCACACUGGGACUGAGACACGGCCCAGACUCCUACGGGAGGCAGCAGUGGGGAAUAUUGGACAAUGGGGGGUACCCUGAUCCAGCCAUGCCGCGUGUGUGAAGAAGGCCUUAUGGUUGUAAAGCACUUUAAGCGAGGAGGAGGCUCUUUUGGUUAAUACCCAAGAUGAGUGGACGUUACUCGCAGAAUAAGCACCGGCUAACUCUGUGCCAGCAGCCGCCGUAA